rnacentral:rRNA from 1 species
AGGUGGGGAUGACGUCAAAUCAUCAUGCCCCUUAUGACCUGGGCUACACACGUGCUACAAUGGGAAGUACAACGAGUCGCGAAGUCGCGAGGCUAAGCUAAUCUCUUAAAGCUUCUCUCAGUUCGGAUUGCAGGCUGCAACUCGCCUGCAUGAAGCCGGAAUCGCUAGUAAUCGCGGAUCAGCACGCCGCGGUGAAUACGUUCCCGGGCCUUGUACACACCGCCCGUCACACCACGAGAGUUUGUAACACCCGAAGUCGGUGAGGUAACCUUUUGGAGCCAGCCGCCUAAGGUGGGAUAGAUGAUUGGGGUGAAGUCGUAACAAGGUAGCCGUAUCGGAAGGUGCGGCUGGAUCACCUCCUUUCUAAGGAA